rnacentral:miRNA from 2 species
AGUAUUAGGAUACGUCUCAUC